GGUCCCGCAGUUUCAGCUGCUGCUGCUGCAUUUGCUCUGCAUCCAGGUUCCGCUGGGCCUGCUCCAUGUCAGCUGAGGAGAAAAGCAAAGCGUGCCUGCCCCGGGCCAAAAGGUGAGAGGGGACAGAAGUGACGCUGGAGUCAGUGGGGAGUCUCCACCUCUGUGCAGGCUCACAGCACUGUCUUGUGUCAAGAGCCCUCGCCCUUACCGCAAAUGCCCAGGUCACGAGCCCAGGUCGGAAUGUCACCUCUUCUCCCCACGACACGGAGUCCAGCUCCUGCCAAAAGACCCCAGGGGGAGCAGCAUCAAAGUGCCCCUGUCACUGUGAGAAAAUGUAAGGUGACUUGUUCCUCCUGCCCUUCCUGCUCAGGUUUUUCCCUUUUAUUAGAGGUUUGGGAGGUGAGUCAGGAAGCUGCGGGGUGAGGAUGGAGCUGGGGAGGAAUCGGCAGCUAAGGAAAAGGCAAACCAGUUCCAGGCACAGGUGAAUCACUUGCUAGUGAAAAUACAUCUUAUUCUCUGGGAGGCAUGCGUGGAUGGGCUGGGAGUGAGCUGCAGCUUGACUCCAUCAGAAAACUGUGGAGUCAAGAAAAAAAAAAAAACAAGGCAAGGCAAGGCAAGGCUGCUUUUCCAGUAAAUGAGGUGAUACAUUGCAAGGGAGCAGCCUGCAGCCGGCAAAGCUCCAGCAGCCCGUGGUCCUGUGGCUCCCUUAAAAGGGGAGAUUUUAGCCUGGGACAGCGGGGAGACAGAAAAGCCAUAAACACCCUCAGAGGAAUGUGGCUGCCGAGAAACGGGAAUCUCCGCAUGCGAGGCGAGGUGGGGGGAGCCUGGAUGGGGUUUGCACCACCUCUCCAUGCCUGGAGCCCGCCGGUUCCUUGGCCAUGCCCUGUCCCG